rnacentral:rRNA from 1 species
UAACGCGUGGGUAACCUGCCCUAUACACAUGGAUAACAUACUGAAAAGUUUACUAAUACAUGAUAAUAUAUAUUUACGGCAUCGUAGAUAUAUCAAAGUGUUAGCGGUAUAGGAUGGACCCGCGUCUGAUUAGCUAGUUGGUGAGAUAACUGCCCACCAAGGCGACGAUCAGUAGCCGACCUGAGAGGGUGAUCGGCCACAUUGGAACUGAGACACGGUCCAAACUCCUACGGGAGGGCAGCAGAC